GCCCUGGUAGCUCAGUGGCAGAGCGCCUGUCUUGUAAACAGGAGGUCGAGGGUCCAACCCCCUCUCAGGGCU
rnacentral:tRNA from 1 species